rnacentral:rRNA from 1 species
GCCGCCGCGGUAAUACGGAGGGUGCAAGCGUUAAUCGGAAUUACUGGGCGUAAAGCGCAUGUAGGCUGUAUGUUAAGUUGGGGGUGAAAUCCCACGGCUCAACCGUGGAACUGCCCUCAAAACUGGCAAACUAGAGUGUGAGAGAGGAUGGCGGAAUUCCAGGUGUAGGAGUGAAAUCCGUAGAUAUCUGGAAGAACAUCAGUGGCGAAGGCGGCCAUCUGGCUCAUAACUGACGCUGAGAUGCGAAAGCGUGGGUAGCAAACAGGAUUAGAUACCCC